UCCCGGAGUGUCGGAGAUAUUGGUCUUAAGCUCCGUACCGGUCUGUAAGUCUCUUUAAAGCUCCGGCUCUAACCGGGGAUGGAGUGAUACUUUUAGUUAGGGACGGAAAGCCGGAGGUACUCCUAGGGUAGGGGUGAAAUCCGUUAAUCCUAGAAGACCACCAGUGGCGAAGGCGUCCGGCCUGGAACGCGCCCGACGGUGAGGGACGAAAGCUGGGGGAGCGAACCGGAUUAGAUACCCGGGUAGUCCUGGCCGUAAACGAUGCCCGCUAGGUCUUGGUGAAGCUUAGGGUUUCAUCAGGGCCGCAGGGAAGCCGUUAAGCGAGCCACCUGGGGAGUACGGCUGCAAGGCUGAAACUUAAAGGAAUUGGCGGGGGAGCACCACAAGGGGUGAAGCCUGCGGUUUAAUUGGAGUCAACGCCGGGAACCUUACCAGGGGUGACGGCAGAGUGAUGGUCAGGCUAAAGACCUUACCUGACAAACCGAGAGGAGGUGCAUGGCCGUCGCCAGCUCGUGCUGUGAAGUGUCCUGUUAAGUCAGGCAACGAGCGAGACCCUUGCUGYYAGUUGCUUCUAGUUUCCGAAAGGUACUUGGAGGAAACUAACAGGACCGCCGCCGAUAAGGCGGAGGAAGGUGGGGGCUACGGCAGGUCAGUAUGCCCCGAAACCCCUGGGCCACACGCGGGCUGCAAUGGUGGAGACAAUGGGAUCCGAUCUCGAAAGAGGGAGGUAAUCUCUAACCUCCACCUYAGUUGGGAUUGAGGGCUGAAACCCGCCCUCAUGAACCUGGAAUCCCUAGUAAUCGCGGGUCACCAUCCCGCGGUGAAUACGUCCCCGCUCCUU
rnacentral:rRNA from 1 species